GUUCUACUCCAACGAGAGGGAUUUCAUGGUGAAAAACUACCGGGAAGAGUCGCAUAUACCCAAAUAUGUUCCACUCCAACGAGAGGGAUUUCAUGGUGAAAAACUACCGGGAAGAGUUGCAUAUACCCAAAUAUGUUCCACUCCAACGAGAGGGAUUUCAUGGUGAAAAACUACCGGGAAGAGUUGCAUAUACCCAAAUAUGUUCCACUCCAACGAGAGGGAUUUCAUGAUGAAUAACACUCCGUGAUGAGUCGCAUGUUA